rnacentral:rRNA from 1 species
AUACCCCGAAUUAUCUGGGCUACACGCGGGCUACAAUGGGUGGGACAAUGGGUAUCGACACCGAAAGGUGAAGGCAAUCUCCUAAACCCAUCCGUAGUUCGGAUUGUGGGCUGCAACUCGCCCACAUGAAGCUGGAAUCUGUAGUAAUCGUGUCUCAAAAUGGCACGGUGAAUAUGUCCCUGCUCCUU